CCGCCGUACAGGGGAGAUGCUGCCGAAAUUUCUUCGGACAGGGACUACCUGGGGCGUGACAGACUCAUGGUAGGCAUAGGAACAACUCCUUGAUGGAUUUCCUCUGGGCAGAUUACUGGCCUCUGCAUUCUUGUGGCUGAGUAAGGUUUUGGUUGAAGAUUUGAGGUACUGUUGAGCUUCGGUCAGUUUGGUGAUCCACAGUUUGGCAUUCCAGUCUCGGCAGUGAACCCCUUUAAUCAUGUUGACCGGUGAUUAUCCGAAGUUUGGGACUUGGAUUCGGGACGAGCGUCUCGAUGCAGGAUUACUUUAUUCGAGCUAUAUUUUAAGGCGGGUAUUUCUUCCUUUGCCUCUAUGUAGAUUUUCUUUGAGCUUAGUGCAUGGUUGUUAUUUGACGGAUUAGGUUACUUUACCCUAUAUCGUGUUCAGUUGCU